AAGUCGUAACAAGGUUUCCGUAGGUGAACCUGCGGAAGGAUCAUUAAUGAAUAAGAACACGUCUCAUGGCGUUNUCUUGGUCNNUAGAGGAAGUAAAAGUNGUAACAAGGUCUCCGUAGGUGACCUGCGGAGGGAUCAUUACAAGUGACCCCGGCUACGGCCGGGAUGUUCAUAACCCUUUGUUGUCCGACUCUGUUGCCUCCGGGGCGACCCUGCCUUCGGGCGGGGGCUCCGGGUGGACACUUCAAACUCUUGCGUAACUUUGCAGUCUGAGUAAACUUAAUUAAUAAAUUAAAACUUUUAACAACGGAUCUCUUGGUUCUGGCAUCGAUGAAGAACGCAGCGAAAUGCGAUAAGUAAUGUGAAUUGCAGAAUUCAGUGAAUCAUCGAAUCUUUGAACGCACAUUGCGCCCCCUGGUAUUCCGGGGGGCAUGCCUGUUCGAGCGUCAUUUCACCACUCAAGCCUCGCUUGGUAUUGGGCAACGCGGUCCGCCGCGUGCCUCAAAUCGUCCGGCUGGGUCUUCUGUCCCCUAAGCGUUGUGGAAACUAUUCGCUAAAGGGUGUUCGGGAGGCUACGCCGUAAAACAACCCCAUUUCUAAGGUUGACCUCGGAUCAGGUAGGGAUACCCGCUGAACUUAGNAUAUCAACANNNACUNNAAGUGCAUCUUUGGAUGUUACUCAUUGUGUAACUUUGACAUCUGGCCUCAAAUCAAGUAGGACUACCCGCUGAACUUAA
rnacentral:rRNA from 1 species